rfam:Capsicum annuum cultivar Zunla-1 chromosome 4, whole genome shotgun sequence
AAAAUGGUUUUGCUAAAAACCACCAAACUAGACUGUAAAUAAAUGG